GGAGUUAUGGCUCAGAGGUAGAGCACCUGCCUAGCAUGCAUGAGGCCCUGGGUUUGAUCCUCAGCAACACAU
rnacentral:tRNA from 1 species